rnacentral:rRNA from 1 species
GACGAACGAUGGCGGCGUGCCUAAUACAUGCAAGUAGAACGCAGUUGCGAACGGGUGAGUAACGCGUAGGUAACUGCCCCAUAGCGGCGGAUCACUAUUGGAAACGAUAGCUAAUACCGCAUACUGCGGGAUGGACCUGCGUUGGAUUAGCUCGUUGGUGAGGUAAAGGCUCACCCAGGCGACGAUACAUAGCCGACCUGGGAGGGUGGUCCGCCACACUGCGACUGAGACACGGCCCGGGCUCCUACGGGAGGCAGCGGUUGGGAGGCUACGGCAAUUGACGGAAGUCUGACCGAGCAACCCCGCGCGAGUGAAGAAGGGUUUCGGAUCGCAAAGAUCUGUUGUUAGAGCAGCGGUAACCAACCAGAAAGGGACGGCUAACUACGUGCCAGCAGCCGCGGUAAUUC